GACCGUAAGAGAGCAAAUCUGGGAGCAAGGCAGUCACUUAUGUGACAUCCAGAGAUGACAGUGUUACGGUGGGCUGCUCAGGUGGUGGAUUGCCAUAUGCUUCGCUUUGUUUUUUCUUUUGUUUUUCAAGACAGGGUCUCCCUAUGUAGUUCAGGCUGGCCGUAAACUCACUAUGUAGCCCAGGCUGGCCUGGAACUCACAGUGAUCCUCCUGCCUCAACUUCCAGAGUCCUGGGAUCACAGCUCCAGGCACUGUGGUCAUUUCAGCCCUUGGCUAAGCUCUUCCCUGACUCAGAGUUUUGGCUCAGGACUCUCCAUUAUCCAGGGAUCAAUCCGGACCUUGAGCUUGCAAGGCAGGCGCCGGAACCACUGAGCUAAAUCCCCGGC
rnacentral:lncRNA from 1 species